UACCAAAGCUCUGCGCGCUAAGUUUUGCCAUACUCGGCCCGGCAUGGUGGGUCAUGGUGGUACACUAUACAGUAGGCCUCUGAUGCAGUGCAUAAUUUUGUCAUUUAAGAUUGUACUUGUCCAGACCAUGGAGGAGGAACCUCAUUUUCAGUGAAACUGUGUCAUUGAUGCAAACUGUGUUAGCCUACCACAUGUAUUAAGCAUGGUGGCUUUGCAUCAUUGAUCAUGGAGAGGAAUACAGCUGGUCUCAACAUUGUACCUUGGGGAACCCAAGCAUGAACAGAUGAAUAUUUGUCACAGUUGGUCCCAGAGAUAAAAUGGUUGGGAUUGGGUUUUGAAAGUGUUUGUCUACUUGCUCUGCACCCAUGGUGAGUGGGGCAUCGACGAAGAAUAGAGGGUACAUUUACAUGUAGGUUAUGGAGCGGGAACUUAAAUUUCCUAUUGAUACAUGUUAGUCACAAGUAUUCACAACUGUACACAAGGUGCUCAUUGGAUGUGUCAAAGUCUUGUUGGGGACUGUAAUUCAGUCCUUCUGAACACGUUAUCCUUUUGAACACAUACACAAUUAAUAUUGCUGUCGGAGAUUCUGCAGCGAAAGAUAUACUGUUUCUUCUUCAAUGUAAUACUCAUGACUGAUCACUUCUUUCAGUUAAGAAUUAAAAGCCAAUUAGUACGCCAAUCAUGAACUGUUAACAUCAUCCUGAAAAAUUGCACAAUCUGAUUCUUGAGGAACUUGCUGAAAAAUGUUCAUGUCAUCAGCAAACACCAAACACUUGUUCAAAAUGCACUGACAAGGUAAAUCGUUAACAAGAAGAGAAUGCCAAAUACAGAACCUUGGGUGCACCUGAGGGAACUGGGUGCCAACUAGAACAAUGACCAUCAACCACCACUCAGUGUCUCCUGUCGGAUUCACGUGAUUAGCUAUGAGGUAAUUUUAGCAAAGAUUGAUGUAUAUUGUAAAUAGUAAUGUAAUGGACCUUUACUGCCAUCCGAGUGGUUUAUUAUUACUUG